CACAGGGCCCCCCUCCAUUCCCUACCUAUUAGUGAAGAUCCGUUCGGCAGAGUAGCUGUUGACAUUAUAGUUGCACAGGCACUUUGGUGCACUUUGGUGACUCUAGAGAACCUCGGGCCAAUCGCAUUUCCCUGUGAUGGCGACUUUGCAUUCGGAUGUCUGCCCUAUCAACUUUCGAUGCCACUUUCUGAGCCUACCAUGGUGACAACGGGUAACGGGGAAUCAGGGUUUGAUUCCGGAGAGACAGCCUGAGAAAUGGCUACCACAUCCAAAGAAGGCAGGGGGGCGCAAAUUACCCACUCCCGACCCGGGGAGGUAGUGACG